rnacentral:lncRNA from 1 species
UUAAGAGAAAUAUGUAAAAGGAAAAAAGAGUAACAAUAACUUGAAGAACAAAAUGUACAAAACUGAGAAUAUUUAUGAUUUGUAAUCUAAGAUAUAUUCAAUUUAUUGUCACAAAAAACUUAAUAAGAAAUACAUACUUUGUUUUAAGAACAUUAAAAAUCACGUUGAAUUUUUUAACAUUUUAAGAAAAAUUAUGAAUCAAUAAUAUUAAUAUAAAAUUUUAUCCAAAAAACUCAGCACUAAAUGCAUAAACAAAAAAACAAACAGACCCUAAACCCUAUAAUCCUAAGCAUUAUUAUAAACCAAACCCUAAACCCAACCUAAACCAAACGCUAAACCUUUCCUACUAUCUAAACCCUAAAUCCUACCUAACUCUAAACCCUACAUAAACCUAACCCUAAUCCCUAAACCCUUCCUACUACCUAAACCCUAAACCUAUCUAACCGUAAACCUACCUAACCCUAAACGUAAACCCUACCUAACCCUAAUCCCUAUUUCACCCUGAACCCUACCAAACCCUAAACCCUACCUAACCAUAAAACUCUACCUAAAACCUAACCCUAACCCUAACCCUAAACCCUACCUAAACCCUACCUAACCCUAACACUACUUAACUCUAAACCCUACUAACCCUACCUAACCUAAACCCUACCUAACCCUAAACCCUUUCUAGCCCUAAACCCUACAUAACCCUAAACUAUACUGACCUUAAACCCUACCUAACCCUAAACCCUACCUAACCCUAAACCCUACCUAACCCUAAACCCCUUCAAACCCUCCCUAACCCUAAACCCUACCUAACCCUAAACCAUUUCUAGCCCUAAAUCCUACAAACCCUAAACCCUACUAACCCUAAACCUUUUCUAACCCUAAACCCUGCUAACCCUACCUAAUUCUAAACCCUACCUAACCCUAACCCUAAACCCUAUUAACCCUAAACCCUACCUAACCUAAACACUACCUAACCUAAACCCUACCUAACCCUAAAAAAUUUCUAACCCUAAACCCCUAAACCCUACUAACCCUAAACCCUACCUAACCCUAAAUCCUACCUACCCUAAACCCUACCUAACCCUGAACCCUACCUAACCCUAAACCCUACGUAACCCUAAACCUAACCCUAAACACUACCAACCCUAAACCCUACCUAACCCUAAACCCUACUAACCCUAAACCAUACCUAACCCUAAACCCUACUUACCCUAAACCCUGCCUAACCCUAAACCCUGCCUAACCCUAACCCUUUCUAACCCUAAACCCUACCUAACCUAAAC